GACGAACGCUGGCGGCGUGCUUAAUACAUGCAAGUCGAACGGAAAGGCCCUGCUUUUGUGGGGUGCUCGAGUGGCGAACGGGUGAGUAACACGUGAGUAACCUGCCCUUGACUUUGGGAUAACUUCAGGAAACUGGGGCUAAUACCGGAUAGGAGCUCCUGCUGCAUGGUGGGGGUUGGAAAGUUUCGGCGGUUGGGGAUGGACUCGCGGCUUAUCAGCUUGUUGGUGGGGUAGUGGCUUACCAAGGCUUUGACGGGUAGCCGGCCUGAGAGGGUGACCGGCCACAUUGGGACUGAGAUACGGCCCGGACUCCUACGGGAGGCAGCAGUGGGGAAUAUUGCACAAUGGGCGGAAGCCUGAUGCAGCAACGCCGCGUGCGGGAUGACGGCCUUCGGGUUGUAAGCCGCUUUCGCCUGUGACGAAGCGUGAGUGACGGUAAUGGGUAAAGAAGCACCGGCUAACUACGU
rnacentral:rRNA from 1 species